UGGGAGGAGGGUUCAAGGGUCUAUCCGGAGGGCCCCGGCCAAUGAGGAGACUGACCAUGGAGCGUGUGCGUUCUAGCUGCGCGAGAGGCGGAACCUGCCCUUCCCGCGCAGCAGCAAAGGGAAGAUUGUAAUACGCGAGCAGGCUGAGUCGCAUGUCAUACAUCCAGACUGGAGGUACUAUUCAGCUGAAUCAGCUAACGUUUCUACAGCACUUUAAUAAUGUGAAGCAGUGAGUUCUCAGAGGAGAGGAGAAGAAAAAAAAUCUUUAUGCCAAAGGAAGAUUUAAAUCUUCAAAUUACUUUCUUCAUCCUAAGUGGGAACCCCAUUACUGUAAUUAAAGCACAUUGCAGUCCAUUAUGAUCCCACAGAUGGCAUGUACUGCAACAGGGCCAUAAUGGCAAAGUGAAAUGAGGUGGAAUGACUGAAUUACAUAACCCCCCACCAAUGCCCAUCACUAAGUCCGUUAAUUUUGUCAAGUGUCCAUCGCACAACACGGUGGUGCUGACCCCUGGCUGGAAAUCGAACCCAGAUCUCCUGAGUUCAAGAUCACCCUACACAGUUCACACCGCUCAAAUAUUCCUCAUGGGCCAAAGGAGACUUCCACUGCCGAGAUCAACUGUUCAAGAAAGGAGACCAGCUUUGAAGAGGGAACAGUCUGGGCUUUUGACAACUCUUAAGUAGACUCAAAAUAACAAUGGUAAACGGAGACCUAGCCAAUAUACUCCCCCACAUACACUAAUUCAAGGACCGCUCCUCUUCCUUUCACAAGAAGAGUUAGAUCUGCAGAAGUGAAGGUAUUUUCUCUAACCCUUGAGGCAAGGCAAUGGCUGAGAAACCCUGCUCUGUAACCCCUUUCAAAGCACUGUACGUCAGACUGAAGCAGUAAAUCCGAUAAUACAUCCUGACACCUGACUGUCCACCUUCCAUUCAUGUACAGAAGUGACCUCUACAGUCAGUGCAAAAGGUCACGGAUGGAUUCUAAGAAAACGCUUGGUCCCUCAAGGUGACACAGAUCAGAUUAAACUACCCAGAACUGACUAGCACCAAGCACUGUGCACAGGCAACAAGCCACAGGCUGGAGGCCAUUCACGCAGUGCGGGUUGUGUAUUUUCCAGUGGAAGAUUAUCCUGAGAAACUGAUUCAGGCCGGAACCGGAAAGAAAAAUGCCCUGCAGCACCUAUGUGGGGUGUGUGCAGGGCUGCCUCAUUCCGGAUCAGCAGGAGUCAAGGUAGUAUUUCAGAAAUAGCCACCUGAUGCCAAUUCUUCUGUAGCACAUUGCACCACAGAAAAGCACUUGGACCCCAAAUGCCAGGAGUUUUGCCAUCGACUUCAGUGAGAUUACGAUUCGGCCUCUAAAGAGGAGAGAAUAAAGAAGUAUGGCUUGAAGAUUCUUCCUUGUGCCAAACAGAAGAGGGCAGGGCCUUUUCACUGAGCAUGUGAAUUGACUUUUCACAGACAAUAUUCUUGCUCAGAGACAGAUUAUUUAGAGUCUUUCAUUCAUAGUAACAAGUUCCAACAGAAAAACCAACCCCAUGGGUUUCCAUCAGAGCUAGGUGCUGUCCACAUGUGUGAAUUUGGAUCCAAAACUGAGCAGCCCCAGAGUUUUGAUCCGGUCUGUUGACCCCAGCUCUAGUUUCAAAAGCCCCUGCAUGAGAAACAUUUUUUGUCUGUUUUAAUUCCUGCUGUGCCGGAGGAAGGGUGUGUGACCGCAGCAUCUUCAGGAGACGUGUUAGAGACGCUUGCAGAAGGCUGAGAGGUGAUUUUUCUUGGUAACAUAGAUAAAUAUUUUUUCUAAACUUUAUUCAGGGCACCGGAUUUUCUGGCUGAGCAAACAUAAGAAUCUCUUUGACUUCCUUCAUAUCGCUCCUGGAGCUCAGAGGGCUCCUUCAAUACUUAACUCAGCAACCAGAAGUUUGAUUUAAUUCCUCUCAUAUUUUGCAGUGAGCAGAUCUAUGAAAAGCAGGAGUGCUAGUCAACAAAGAUCAGAAUGGAAUGUGGCGGUGAGGGCUCUGUCUUUAAUAAAAACAAACCCAAGUUUUAGUUCCACUACCUGUUACCACAAAUUUUGUGAAUCAAGGCUCCAAUCCUGCAAAAAUUUAAGCACAUGCUUAACUUUAAGCAUGGGAGCUGUCCCAUUGACUUCAAUGGAUUCACUCAAGCACUUAAACCCUGGGUCUGAUCCAAAGCCCAUGGAAGGCAACGGAGAGACUCCAAAUGUGUUAAGUGUUUGCAAGGUCAGAGACAAAAACAGCAACUCCAGAGGCAUGGCAGAAAUUCCUGGGAACUCAUGGAGACAGGCAUAUGUCAUAUACAUAGGCCUUGUCUACACUAAAGGGAAAAGUCAAUCUAAGC